UACGUAGGGUGCGAGCGUUGUCCGGAAUUACUGGGCGUAAAGAGCUCGUAGGUGGUUUGUCGCGUUGUUCGUGAAAACUCACAGCUUAACUGUGGGCGUGCGGGCGAUACGGGCAGACUGGAGUACUGCAGGGGAGACUGGAAUUCCUGGUGUAGCGGUGGAAUGCGCAGAUAUCAGGAGGAACACCGGUGGCGAAGGCGGGUCUCUGGGCCUGUACUGACGCUGAGGAGCGAAAGCGUGGGGAGCGAACAGG
rnacentral:rRNA from 1 species